AUGAUGGGUUUAUGGUUUAGAACUGUUUCAUUUAUAUAAUUCCGAAUUUUUUUACUAGGUGAAAAUACCUAUAGAAAAAUAUUAGACGAGAAGACCCUUAGAGUUUUAAUAAAAAUUUUAUUACUUAAAAUUAUGUUUUUGUUGGGGCGACAUUUUAUCAGUAAAUAAAUUUAAUAACAUAAAGUAAGUAAACUAAACAUAUAACUUAAGGUUGGUUAAGAAGAAUAUAACUACCUGAGGGAUAACAGCAUAAU
rnacentral:rRNA from 1 species